rnacentral:rRNA from 1 species
GACGAACCGUGCGAACGUUGUUCGGAAUCACUGGGCUUAAAGGGCGCGUAGGCGGGCUUGAUAGUCCGUGGUGAAAGCCCCCGGCUUAACCGGGGAAGUGCCAUGGAUACUGCAAGCCUGGAGGAGGGUAGGGGCAUCUGGAACGCUGGGUGGGGCGGUGAAAUGCGUUGAUAUCCAGCGGAACUCCGGUGGCGAAGGCGAGGUGCUGGACCCUUUCUGACGCUGAUGCGCGAAAGCCAGGGGAGCAAACGGG